rnacentral:rRNA from 1 species
GAGUUUGAUCCUGGCUCAGGACGAACGCUGGCGGCAUGCCUAACACAUGCAAGUCGAACGAGAAAGUUCCUUCGGGAGCAAUUAAAGUGGCGCACGGGUGAGUAACGCGUAGACAAUCUGCCCUUCAGUCUGGGACAACUUUUCGAAAGGAGAGCUAAUACCGGAUAACAAUGCAUGACACAAGUUGUAUAUUUGAAAGCUUUAUGUGCUGAAGGAGGGGUCUGCGUCCCAUUAGCUAGUUGGUAAGGUAAAAGCUUACCAAGGCGACGAUGGGUAGCGGGUUUGAGAGGACGAUCCGCCACACUGGAACUGAGACACGGUCCAGACUCCUACGGGAGGCAGCAGUGGGGAAUAUUGCACAAUGGAGGCAACUCUGAUGCAGCAAUGUCGCGUGAGUGAAGAAGGCCCUUGGGUCGUAAAGCUCUUUUAUGGGGGAAGAUGAUGACGGUACCCCAAGAAUAAGCACCGGCUAACUAUGUGCCAGCAGCCGCGGUAAUACGAAGGUCCCAAGCGUUGUUCGGAAUCACUGGGCGUAAAGGGAGCGUAGGCGGCGCGGUAAGUCGGAUGUGAAAUCCCGAGGCUCAACCUCGGAACUGCAUCUGAUACUGCCGUGCUAGAGUAAUGGAGGGGUAGCUGGAAUUCUCGGUGUAGCAGUGAAAUGCGUAGAUAUCGAGAGGAACACUCGUGGCGAAAGCGAGCUACUGGACAUUUACUGACGCUGAGGCUCGAAGGCUAGGGGAGCGAAAGGGAUUAGAUACCCCUGUAGUCCUAGCAGUAAACGGUGCACGCUUGGUGUGAGGGGAUUCGACCCCCCUUGUGCCGGAGCUAACGCGUUAAGCGUGCCGCCUGGGAAGUACGGUCGCAAGACUAAAACUCAAAGAAAUUGACGGGGACCCGCACAAGCGGUGGAGUAUGUGGCUUAAUUCGAUGCAACGCGAAGAACCUUACCUAGGCUUGACAUGCAUCUCUAAGCACGUGAAAGCGUGUGACCCUUCGGGGGAUUUGCACAGGUGCUGCAUGGCCGUCGUCAGCUCGUGUCGUGAGAUGUUGGGUUAAGUCCCGCAACGAGCGCAACCCUUGUGAUUAGUUGCCAGCACGUAAUGGUGGGAACUCUAGUCAGACUGCCCAGAUCAACUGGGAGGAAGGUGGGGACGACGUCAGGUCAGUAUGGCCCUUACGCCUAGGGCUGCACACGUACUACAAUGCUCAGUACAAUUAGAACCGAUACCGCGAGGUGGAGGAAAUCUGUAAAACUGGGCUCAGUUCGGAUUGGAGGCCGCAACUCGCCUCCAUGAAGUUGGAAUCGCUAGUAAUGGGGCAUCAUCUACGGCCCCGUGAAUACGUUCCCGGGUCUUGUACACACCGCCCGUCACAUCAUGGAAGCCGGUAGCACCCGAAGUAUUGUUCAAUCAAUCCUAAGGUGAAGCUGGUAACUGGGAUGAAGUCGUAACAAGGUAGCCGUAGGGGAACCUGCGGCUGGAUCACCUCCUUUCU